rnacentral:lncRNA from 1 species
UCUCUCUGUAGCUCAGUUGGUUAGAGCUCGACAACUGUCUCUCUGUAGCUCAGUUGGUUAGAGCUCGACAACUGUCUCUCUGUAGCUCAGUUGGUUAGAGCUCGACAACUGUCUCUCUGUAGCUCAGUUGGUUAGAGCUCGACAACUGUCUUCUGUAGCUCAGUUGGUUAGAGCUCGACAACUGUCUCUCUGUAGCUCAGUUGGUUAGAGCUCGACAACUGGACUCUGUAGCUCAGUUGGUUAGAGCUCGACAACUGGCCUCUGUAGCUCAGUUGGUUAGAGCUCAACAACUGGAUUCUGUAGCUCAGUUGGUUAGAGCUCGACAACUGGACCCUGUAGCUCAAUUGGCUAGAGCUCGACAACUGGACUCUGUAGCUCAGUUGGUUAGAGCUCGGCAACUGUUUCUCUGUAGCUCAGUUGGUUAGAGCUCGACAACUGGACUCUGUAGCUCAGUUGGUUAGAGCUCGACAACUGGACUCUGUAGCUCAGUUGGUUAGAGCUCAACAACUGGAUUCUGUAGCUCAGUUGGUUAGAGCUUGACAACUGUCUCUCUGUAGCUCAGUUGGUUAGAGCUUGACAACUGUCUCUCUGUAGCUCAGUUGGUUAGAGCUGGACAACUGUCUCUCUGUAGCUCAGUUGGUUAGAGCUCGACAACUGUCUCUCUGUAGCUCAGUUGGUUAGAGCUUGACAACUGGACUGUCUGUAGCUCAGUUGGUUAGAGCUCGACAACUGGACUCUGUAGCUCAAUUGGUUAGAGCUUGACAACUGGACUCUGUAGCUCAGUUGGUUAGAGCUCGACAACUGGACUCUGUAGCUCAGUUGGUUAGAGCUCGACAACUGUCUCUCUGUAGCUCAGUUGGUUAGAGCUUGACAACUGGACUCUGUAGCUCAGUUGGUUAGAGCUCGACAACUGGACUCUGUAGCUCAGUUGGUUAGAGCUUGACAACUGGACUCUGUAGCUCAGUUGGUUAGAGCUUGACAACUGGACUCUGUAGCUCAGUUGGUUAGAGCUUGACAACUGGACUCUGUAGCUCAGUUGGUUAGAGCUUGACAACUGGACUCUGUAGCUCAGUUGGUUAGAUC